rnacentral:lncRNA from 1 species
ACGAUCUCAUUUGCGUUUUCUCUUCCGGCGAGGAUUCGUCGAAGCUAAGGAAGGAGAAACCGGAGGCCGUGGACGGCGACAAAUUCGGCGGCCAGAUCGUACGGUGUCCUGAAACGCCACCUGGCUACACCGUAUCGCUUGCCAUCUCGAGAUGGACGAUGGAUGAUCACCUUGCCGCUGGUCCCACUCACCAGUGGGAUUGGCUGGUUUACGACGCCGUGAUCGACCACGAUAACUCCACGGUGGUGUUCGUCAAGGGACUUAAUCUAAAGCCGGGGAAAGUUGCUGACGUGUCGAGAUACGAGUGCGUGUACGGCUGGGAUUUCGCGAAACACAAUCGGUUGAUCAGAUCAGACGUGAUCUCUGCGGCGCAGGAGAUCGUACGGUGCAGAACACCGUUAACAGUGUUAAACGGCCCAAAAUCAGCCCAUGGGCCGGUUAAAGUUUCGGUUCGAAUCAAAGGAGGAACCGGUAUGCUUCCAUCGAUCGCUCAACCGGAUCGGAUCGUUCACCCACCGCGACGGAAACCGUUCGAGAUGUGCGUUUGCACCAUGACGCGAAACGCAGCCGCGGUUCUGAGAGAGUGGGUGAUGUACCACGCCGGAAUCGGCGUUCAGCGGUGGUUUAUCUACGAUAACAACAGCGACGACGACAUCAUCGCUGAGAUAAAAUAUCUCGAGCGACGCGGUUACAACGUCUCACGACAUUUCUGGCCGUGGAUCAAGACUCAGGAAGCCGGAUUCUCGAAUUGCGCGAUCCGCGCGAGAAACGAUUGCGAUUGGAUCGCGUUCAUCGACGUCGACGAGUUCUACUACAUCCGCUCCGGUGAAAGCCUAACAAGCAUCAUCAGAAACUAUACUGCCUCUGCCGAGAUCGGAGAAAUCAGAACGCCGUGCCACAGUUUCGGACCGUCGGGGUUGAGAAACCGGCCUCGAGGUGGAGUCACGGAAGGAUACACUUGCCGUGUGAUUUUACCGGAGAGGCACAAGAGCAUACUCAAGCCGGAGUCGAUGAACGCGACGCUGAUCAACGUGGUGCAUCAUUUCCACCUGAAAGACGGGUUCACGUUUGCUGACGUGGAUAAGGAGGUUAUGGUGAUUAAUCACUAUAAAUAUCAGGUGUGGGAAGUUUUCAAGGAGAAGUUUUAUAGGAGAGUCGCGACUUACGUGGCGGAUUGGCAAAACGAUGAGAAUGUCGGGUCGAGAGAUCGGGCGCCCGGUUUGGGAACCCGACCCGUUGAGCCGCCUGAUUGGGCGGAGAGAUUCUGCGAGGUUAAUGAUACGGGGCUUAGAGAUCAGGUGUUGGAGAAAUUUAAAGACAAUAAAUUACAGCGUUUGAUAUGGGAAAAGGAGGAAGACGAAGGCUCACGACAGGCCCAUAAUAGGAUAGAUUGAAAGAUUAAACAUCAGCUUAGUAAAGCUCAUUGGUCAUCAUUUUUGGAAACUUUUUUCUUUCUGUAACUAACUUUUUGUGGAAGAUAUAUGUGACAAUGCCAGAUUUUUUUUUCUCUGUAAUUUUUGUCUUAGUGAAGUAAAAUAAAGAACUUCCAAAAAUUUCUAAAUCAUGAAACUCUGCUUUGUGAUUUUGCAUAGGUAGAUUUAACUACACAACAACAUACACCACGUAGUUAUCUUUCUAUGGUGAAUUUUUGGUAUUGAGUUGCUCGAGGUUUGGGUCAACAUCAAUCCAAGUUUCUGUUCCCUAACUUCCUAUGCAAGAAAACCCUAAUCAAAGGCUAAGAAGCAAAACAGAGGAACGGCCUAUCAAGAUAGGUUGCAGAGUUACACUAUUGAGGAAGUUGGCGGUGCAAACAGUCAUCUCUCAUCUAUGGAAGCAAAGGAACAAUUUGGUGCAUAAUCAGUCAACUAUACCGAUUUCUACAGUGUUCUACAGUAUUGACAAAGAGCUAAGAAACAUCAUUUCAGCGAGGAGAGUUAGAAAGAGUUUCAGUGCCUUCAUGGUGAUGUGGUUGAGAUAGGUUCUCGUAGGAUAUAUUUUCAGUGCUCCAUCUUGUUUUUUGUUAUUUUUUGCCAAGAUAGUUCAAAAUCUAAGAUCAUCUCUUGUAGAAUCUUUUAUUCAUCUAUAUGAUAUUUACAAUUUAGCAAAAAAAAAAAAGUUUCAGAGAGAGGAUAUUUCGAAAUUACUUGCAUCUUCACAAAGUGUUAUUUCCUUUAGACAUAUUACGUUUGUGUUUCUUCUUGAAAUCUAUAGUCUUUGACAUUAAACAUCCGAAAAAUCUAUUUAUACAUUUGGUGAUAACAUCUUUUCUUAUGUUACUAAUUUGGUUACAUAUGCUUGUUGUAGACUGAUAAAAUAAGCGAUCAGAGUCAUUAUUCCACUAAUGACACAUUUAAGGUUUUAAAACAAAGUUUGACUUGUUAAAAAAAUUUUGUUUUGACAAAUAGUAUAUCAUUACUGGCACCUGUACAUCGAAUGUCGUCAUGAUGGCAACGUAAACUUUGACACUGAUCUAACAAGAGUUUGGGUCGUUUGGAUUAGGGCCAUUUCAUAUAAUGUUUACUUAUUUUACGGUUAAAAAAAUCUAAAAUCUUCACACAAAAAGUUCUAUAUAAACCAACUUUCAAGAACUCAUUUUCACAACAAAAAAAACAUUCGAGUCUUAUCUCAAAUUCAAGCUCAGCUAAUACAAGCAUCGGACAAACAUGAUGAGAAAGAUCUUUGUUCAGAUCACUGUGGCUUGUCUUCUGUUGGCCAUUAUGGUCUCGGCCCAGGAUCACGAUGAUCAUGACCACCACGAAGGCGAUGGCCACGAUGACCACGACCACGCACCUGGUUCUUCCUCCAACAAAACAAACUCCGCCGUCAUUGUUGCCGCAGAUAUGUUUACCGGCUUGGUUGCGUCCACCGUUGCCCUGGUCGUUGGUUUCAUCUACUGAGAUCGUAACUCUUUAUCUCGGUUUCUAAUGUUUGUGUGUUGUGAAUCCUUCUUUUCAUCUUCUUUUGUUGUUUGUCACACUUGUCGCCCUUCUCUAAAAUUUGCUCAAUCUUUCCUUUGUGUUGAAAGUAUUAUAAUAAAAAAAUGUCUGGUGACAUUUACGUUCGUAAAAAAAAAAAGAUGGUUCUGGAACGUGAAAUGAGAGAAGAAAAGCUAAUUUUGUGACAUACUUGAACAAGAGCCGAAUAGAAGUAAAAGUGCUGCAGCUGUUACGCGAAUGUAUUACAUGCUGUAGUACAUAUAUAUAUUGACGUGGACCUUCCAAGGCGGAGAGAGUUGAAGGUGGAGUAGGGAACGGCGGCUGGAGCAGCUGGAUAAGUCAUUUUCGUGACGGAUGUGAGAAAGUAAAACGAUCGGAAAACUGAGAAAGAAAAAUUCGAGACAAGAUGGAGCUUUUACCUCGAGGGAUUCUAUAUAUAUGAGAGCUCUAAAGGCGUUAGAGGAGAAACUAAGCGUUUGGUAGGCCCAAAACGUGCGUAGAGCCUUAAAGAUCGACCAUAAUAGCUGAUUGCCGGAAGGGGAAUCGCAAGCGACAAAGGAGAUGGUGAAGAUGGUGGCUUCUCUAAUCUUCUUAGCUUUGUCCGUAUCACCACUUUGGGCAGAUACAAAGCGUAAUAAACAUAAAAUCAAUAAGUCCAAAGCCCACUUUUUGUCAAAGUCCAUUCGUUACCCAUCAGUUAAAAAGAAAGAGGUGGGAUCCACAGUAUUAUAUUAGUUUCCAACCUUUAUAAUAUAUAUUAGUUUCGACCAUCAAUGUACAAAGUAUCCUUUUGUGCAAUGGUAUAGUUGUGGAUACUUAUAUCUCAAUAACCCGGGUUCGAGCCACAUAUUUGAUAAUUUUUCACACUUUUAAAAAGUGAGACCCACAAAGGAGAAGAUAAACUCUCCUAUUAUGUAAUAGAUUUGUCUGAAACUCACGUCAAAGAAAGUGAAGUAAAAGAAAUACAAACCGUAGACGAAAGUAAAUUCGUUUACUUAAAAAAGCAAUUAAAUUGUUCGGAGACCAUUAAGUUUUACUGAGUCGUCUUUUUUCUCGUUCUCCAAGUUUGUGUCUUCCCUUCAUAUUCUUCAGACUAACAUACCUUAUUUUCGUUUUUUCUUAAAUCGAAGAAAUAAAAAGAAACAAAAAUUCUAUUCAUCAUUCUCCUGGGCCUAACAAGAAGCGACCUUACUAUUUAUGUUCUCUGUUGCCGGAAAAAAAAAAGAAACAUAGAACAGAGUUUCUUCUACAAUUACGUAACGGCCAGCGCCGGCGAUAACAGCGGCGUAGGAGAUGAAAAUUCGUAGGAAGCUCGGUGGUGUAUGCGGGAGCGACGUCGUUGUCUCGUGGAGGUUGUUUUUCUGGUUCGUCGUGCUGUUUGUCUUCUCCUUCGUCCUCUUCUCCACCAUGUUCGUCUUCAAAGGUAUAUUUAUUAUUUGAACAUUUCUUUUUAUCAGAAACUGAAAUUAAAUAUCGCAGGGAAGUUUCGUCCCGUGGUACGUUCGGUGAGAAGCUUCUCAACGGCCAGGGCGGUUAUCGGAGACUCUGCAACGCUAUCUCCCGCGGUUUCGAUUCGCGAAGCGGUGAAACUACCUGAGCAGACACUUGUUUUCCUAAAAUACCCUCAGUCUCUUCGGUUAUUUACCAAAGACGAUCUCAUUUGCGUUUUCUCUUCCGGCGAGGAUUCGUCGAAGCUAAGGAAGGAGAAACCGGAGGCCGUGGACGGCGACAAAUUCGGCGGCCAGAUCGUACGGUGUCCUGAAACGCCACCUGGCUACACCGUAUCGCUUGCCAUCUCGAGAUGGACGAUGGAUGAUCACCUUGCCGCUGGUCCCACUCACCAGUGGGAUUGGCUGGUUUACGACGCCGUGAUCGACCACGAUAACUCCACGGUGGUGUUCGUCAAGGGACUUAAUCUAAAGCCGGGGAAAGUUGCUGACGUG